rnacentral:rRNA from 1 species
UACAGAGGUCUCAAGCGUUGUUCGGAUUUACUGGGCGUAAAGGGCGCGUAGGCGGCCAGCACAAGUCAGUUGUGAAAUCUCCGAGCUUAACUCGGAACGGUCAACUGAUACUGUGCGGCUAGAGUGCGGAUGGGGCAACUGGAAUUCUUGGUGUAGCGGUGAAAUGCGUAGAUAUCAAGAGGAACACCUGCGGCGAAGGCGGGUUGCUGGGCCGACACUGACGCUGAGGCGCGAAAGCCAGGGGAGCGAACGGG